AUUUGUUUCUUUCAUUUCUUUUUCUUUUUUUUUCUUUUUUUUCCCGCUUUUUACUAAAUCAGAAGGAUAAUUAAGAAGAAUUUAUUGGUUUAAUAAUAAGUUCUCUUCCUCUUUAUGUGGUGGGGGAGGCGUAGCUGUUUUGAGCCUUUGUGGGGUAACCAGUACUACCAUCAAGUCUUCCUUGUUAGAUCCUAGUUGAAAUUACACCUCCGUGACAACACAAGAAAAAAAAAAAAAAAAAAAAAAGAAGAAAUGGUGGGCUUCCUAACAUCUCAACAAAACAUAUGAUGUUAUGUGUCCCUAAUCAUUUUAAGGCAUGAUUAGGAGUCAGUUUAACAAAAAAAAAUAAAAAAGACAUGUGUGGUCAAAGUCAAGUCACGUGUUUGACGACACAUAAUCCACCAUUCUAGUAAUGUGAUUAGCAAGUCGCCGGGGGCAAAGCUUUAAGAUGUGACUAAGAGUGUGCCUUGGAUGAGGUUUUGUCGCCCAACGAAGCAAAUGGAGAUGUUAUUAGUUUAGAAAAAGGCUUUUUCACUCUUGAGACAUGUCUAGACCCUUCUGGCAUUAAUUUGAAAUUGCAGUAGGCAUUGUGAAACCAGAUUAGGAAACCAUACAAUUGACCCCACCCACCCUACUACAUUAAUCUACAAUUGACCUCUUCUUUACGCUGACUACUUCAAUAUUAGUGAGAUGAGAACCACCGAGAAAGGAAACUCGGAAAAUAAAUUAUAUCACUACAAAUUAAACAAGGGUUAUGGUCAUUUGGUUGUGAUCAACUCGUACUACUGUACUUGUCUUGUUGAUUUGGUGAACUGCUGACUAAAGGUGCGACCUCGGGAUACUUGGCACUGCAAAACAGUUUUCUUGUUAAAGACAAUCAGAACAAUCUUGCUUGGAACAUCAUGAUUUACGUUUUUUGGAUGCUUUUCACAUAUCUGCACUGUUUCUCCAUAUAUAUGUCAUGAUGUUAGGAGCUGAUUAUGCUCACAACACUAGAAGUUAAUUUUGUAUUAUGGUUUCUAAUAGAGUUAGAUUUAUAGUAUACAAUUCAAUGAUAUAUUUUCCAGAUCUUUGUUCCAUUUUAACAUGCACAAAAACCAAAGCUUUGUCGAUGGACAAGAGAGGAUUAGAAUCUUCCCUUAUAAUGAUUUGAGUUUACCUGCAAUCUAUGCCCUCAAAUAUGUGCAAGAAUGUUAAGCCUGCCCCAUUUCCUGACUGGCAAAUCCCCAUCCAGCCCCGGUUUAAAAAACCGGGUACGAGGGAUGUCGCCUCAGUCCCAGCCUUGAUCCACCCCAUUGCCAUCUCUAGAUAAACUAUCAGCCCGAAACACGGAGGAACAAAAAUUAUCAGCACAAAUUAAAGAAAAGAUGGGAAUAAAGUGGAUAUGAUACAACACCUUAAAAAGACAAAAAUGGAUAUGAUACAACACCAAUCAAUACAUUUUUUGCAUCUU